GACGUAGGGCGCAAGCGUUGUUCGGAUUCAUUGGGCGUAAAGGGUGUGUAGGUGGCGCCGUAAGUCGGGUGUGAAAUUUCGGAGCUUAACUCCGAAACUGCAUUCGAUACUGCGGUGCUUGAGGACUGGAGAGGAGACUGGAAUUCAUGGUGUAGCAGUGAAAUGCGUAGAGAUCAUGAGGAAGACCAGUGGCGAAGGCGGGUCUCUGGACAGUUCCUGACACUGAGACACGAAGGCCAGGGGAGCAAACGGG
rnacentral:rRNA from 1 species